rnacentral:rRNA from 1 species
UACGGAGGGUGCAAGCGUUGUUCGGAUUGACUGGGCGUAAAGCGCACGUAGGCGGGCGUGUAAGUCGGAUGUGAAAGCCCCGGGCUUAACCUGGGAACUGCACCCGAAACUGCGCGUCUUGAAUGCUUAAGAGGUUGGUGGAAUUCCUGGUGUAGGAGUGAAAUCCGUAGAUAUCAGGAGGAACAUCGGCGGCGAAGGCGGCCAACUGGUGAUGCAUUGACGCUGAGGUGCGAAAGCGUGGGGAGCAAACAGG